rnacentral:rRNA from 1 species
UACGGAGGGGGCGAGCGUUGUUCGGAAUUACUGGGCGUAAAGGGCGCGUAGGCGGUCCUUCAAGUCAGGCGUGAAAGCCCCGGGCUCAACCUGGGAACCGCGCUUGAGACUGGCGGACUCGAGUUCGGGAGAGGAUGGUGGAAUUCCCAGUGUAGAGGUGAAAUUCGUAGAUAUUGGGAAGAACACCGAUGGCGAAGGCAGCCAUCUGGACCGACACUGACGCUGAGGCGCGAAAGCGUGGGGAGCAAACAGG